rnacentral:misc_RNA from 1 species
GAUGAAGAACGUAGCGAAAUGCGAUAAGUAGUGUGAAUUGCAGAAUUCAGUGAAUCAUCGAAUCUUUGAACGCACAUUGCGCCCGCCAGUAUUCUGGCGGGCAUGCCUGUCUGAGCGUCAUUUCAACCCUCAUGCCCCUAGGGCGUGGUGUUGGGGAUCGGCCAAAGCCCGCGAGGGACGGCCGGCCCCUAAAUCUAGUGGCGGACCCGUCGUGGCCUCCUCUGCGAAGUAGUGAUAUUCCGCAUCGGAGAGCGACGAGCCCCUGCCGUUAAACCCCCAACUUUCCAAGGUUGACCUCAGAUCAGGUAGGAAUACCCGCUGAACUUAAGCAUAUCAAUAAGCGGAGGA